UACGGGGGGAGCAAGCGUUGUUCGGAUUUACUGGGCGUAAAGGGCGCGUAGGCGGCCAGCGCAAGUCAGUUGUGAAAUCUCCGGGCUUAACUCGGAAAGGUCAACUGAUACUGCGCGGCUAGAGUGCAGAAGGGGCAACUGGAAUUCUCGGUGUAGCGGUGAAAUGCGUAGAUAUCGAGAGGAACACCUGCGGCGAAGGCGGGUUGCUGGGCUGACACUGACGCUGAUGCGCGAAAGCGUGGGGAGCAAACAGG
rnacentral:rRNA from 1 species